ACCCUACUCUAAUAAGGUUUUGAUAUCUGGAGCACAUAGGUGGGAGACACCUAAUACAUACUUACAAGUCAUUUAUUGCAUAGUCAAACCAUGGAUCCAGAGAAACAAGUCAAUAAGUCAAUAUCAAGAUGUGCAUGUGUGACGAAUGAAUGGUGUAUGGUGAUGAUGGUGAAAACAAUGGUGAAAGUCUAAUUCUUCUUUUGAGGGGAUACAUACCUUUCUUGCACUUUGAAGCUUUUUGAGGGGAAUGAGAUGCUCUAUAUUUUCUUUUUCUUUUUCUCUCAGGUGGGUAUCUUGUACCCCUAAUUAUACUGUCGGACACUUGUCCAUUUUUACCUCUCGUCUCACUUUUUUCUUUUCUUCGAGGUUCCGGACAUUUGCCCCUUUUUAUUUCCUUGUAUUCACUCUUUUUUUAGAGCACUCACCCUUUUGGAAUAAUGUAGAAAGUGGUAGUAACCAAAAUAUCUCGAGUAUUUAUUUCACGGGGAAUAACAGUGAUAGGAUAAUGUUUUUGGCUAUUCUCUCCUGGAUAGGGGUAGAAUAAUUUUGGGUGAAUCUAGAGAUGGAAAUGAGUGGAUGUAUGUGGAUGCGUACUUCCAGAGUAGAAGCAGCAUGUACGAGUGAACGUGCAAGUGAAUGUUGAUUUUAACUG
rnacentral:lncRNA from 1 species